ensembl:snoRNA
CCCCGUUUUUAAAAGCACUCAUUGGGCCUUUUGCCAGUGACCCACUGCACCUUCAUAAAGGGCAGAUUAAAAAGAAUCACUUUUGGGAGAAGCGGCAACAUCUCUCUGGUUCCGCUUCCAUCAGUGUUGUGACGACA